rnacentral:misc_RNA from 1 species
UCCGGUUUAUCACCGGCAGUCUUCUUAGAGUUCCCGCCAUUACGCGCUGGUAACUAAGAACAAGGGUUGCGCUCGUUACGGGACUUAACCCAACAUCUCACGACACGAGCUGACGACAGCCAUGCAGCACCUGUAUCUGGAUUCCCGAAGGCACACUCACUAUUAGGUGAGCUUUCCAGUAUGUCAAGGGUAGGUAAGGUUCUUCGCGUUGCAUCGAAUUAAACCACAUGCUCCACCGCUUGUGCGGGUCCCCGUCAAUUCCUUUGAGUUUUAAUCUUGCGACCGUACUCCCCAGGCGGAGAACUUAUCGCGUUAGCUGCGACACUGAGUCGUCAUGCGACCCAACGUCUAGUUCUCAUCGUUUACGGCGUGGACUAC